rnacentral:lncRNA from 1 species
CGGCAGCCUCUGCAUCUCCACCCUGGGCCUGUGGGACCACGCGGGGCUCUCAGACGGCUUCCCACUGGCUGUGGGCUGAAGACAGGAGGGAGGUGCGCAGAGAUGAGGAUGAGGUGCCCUAGGAGGGGCCCCUCUCCAGCCUGGAGUGUCCACUGCAAGUGGAGUCCUAGACGGCGGUGGGCAGCCAGUAGUCACUAAAGAGUCUGACACGACAUGUCACAAGCCCUGCCCGGAACCCUGUUCCCACAAAUGGUGGGGAAGGACCACCCCUGGUCUCCAGAAAUGAAUCUGAAAAUUCGCUGGUUUGGGAGCCGUGAGAGCAGCUCCGUCAUUUGUUCGACCCCCGUUCAGGGAGUAUUUCCUGGGAGCCUCUAAGUGCAUCUGCGGAGAAGGCUGGAAAGCAGGGCCCUGCUGGUCCAGAAGCUCUGACCAGCGGGAAGCUACUGGAGCCCAGCGUGGUCCCGCAGGCCCGGGGUGGAGACUCAGGGGCUGGUCGGUGCCACUCGUGGUCCCCCAGGCCAGAGCAGCCCAGGCCUCUGCUGGAAACUCAAGCGCUCUCUGAUUUAAAUGAAGACGCCUUGAAGAGCUCCGGCUGUCCUGGAUGGAUGAAGCAGCAUAGGCAUGACUUGGAAGGAUGUGCGGUGGAAGGGGGGUCGCUUCACUGCCAAGAAACCCUUCCUGAGUCUUCUGGAAAUUUCAGGAAAGGCUGCUCAUCCCAGGAGGCUGAAAAAGUAUGGCUGUGUGUUGGGUGGGCCUAAUGCAGGGCAGCGGCCAGGCUGGCACUCAAGUGUGUGUGUGUGUAUGUGAGUGUGAGUGCAAGAGUGUGUGUGUCUGUCUGUGAGUGUGUGAGACUGUGUGUGACUGUGUGUCUGUGUGUGAGAGUGUGUCUAUGAGUGUAUGUCUGUAAGAGUGUAUGUAUGAGUGUGUGACAGUGUGUGUGAGCAUAUGUGAGUAUGUAUGUGUGUCUGUGAAAGUGUGAGUGUGAGUGAGCAUGAGUGCGUGUCUGUGAGAGUGUGUAUGUGAGAGUGUGUUGUGUCUGUGAGAGCAUGUGUGUGAACGUGUUUAUGUAUGUGAGUGUGUAUGCAUCUGUGAGUGUGUCUGUGAAAGUGUGUGUGAGGAUGAGUGUGUGUCUGUGAGCAUGUGUCUGUGAGAGCAUGUGUGUAUGUGUGUGAGUGUGUAUGUAUCUGUGAGUGCGUCUGUGAAUGUGUAUAUGAGUGAGCAGGAGUGUGUGUGUGGUCUGUGAGUGUGUGAGCGUGUGAGAGUAUGUAUUUGAUUGUGUAUCUGAGACUGUGCAAGUGUGUGUGUGCCUGUGUGCAAGUGUGAGUGUGUGUGUCUGUGUGUAAGUGUGAGUGUGUGUGAGUUUGUGUGUUCAUAUGUGAGUUUAUCUUCCGUGAGAAUUUUAGGCGAAACUGAGGAGAACCGCAGUCAUCUGACGUUGUCAUGAUGGCUGAAGUCCAGGUCUCAGAUCUGGGUGGAAGCACUGGGUCUGAAUAGUGACCAUCUCAUCACAGUUGUCUCCUGAGACUCCCAUUCCCGGGAAGGAGAGUACUUGCCAGGGAAGCCAGCAGCACUCUGGGCGAACGUGUGCCCCUCAAGAGUGGCCGCAGGCUGUAGCAGGAUCCAGAGGAGAGGCGGGGCCGAGGCCCAGUCAGGGUCUCUGCAGGGUCCCUGCAGAGGCAGGGCCUCUGGGAGCCUGGGGGACCCGGGACAGGGAGGUGAAGGAGGAGUAACAGCAGGUGCGAGGCACCAAUGGCCAAUGUGGAAAUUAUGAGUGGGCGCUCCAGCUUCGUCUGCUGAGACCUCUCGCUCACUUCUCUGCGUCUUCACCCUUCCCCUCCUCCCCGGCGCCCCUGCCCUCUGUUAAUGCCAUUAACAGUGGGCGUUAUGUGUGGCACGGCAAGGCCAUGCUCUAAAACACGCGCCUGGGUCCUGAUGAGCCUGCGCUCUCCCUGUGUUUUGGGCGCUGCCUUCAGAGCAUGUUGGUAGUGAGAUGUGGAAGGCCACGCAGCUGUAGUGCACUCACUGUCGCAGCCUAACGGUGCCACACGGACCCGUAAGAGGACGCACAACUGUCAGCUGACUCCGUCACUGGGAAAAACAACACGACAGGGUCUCACUCUGCUGCCUAGGCUGCAAUGCGGUGGCACGACCAUGGCUCAGUGCGUCCUCAACUCCUGGGCUCAAGUGAUCCUCCCACCUCGGCCUCCUGAGUAGCUGGGACUACAGUUGCACACCACCAGAUCCGACUAAUUUGCAGUUCUGUCCGGCGUACAGUGUGAGAUGGGAAUCAACUUUUGUCUUCAUCCAGAUGAGACUUUUAUGUCAGUGAGAGGGAGAACACAAAUGCUGAUUUAAGGAAGUGUUGAAGGGCAUUUCCCCAAGUUGUUCUUUUCCUCUGAGGUAAUAUUUGAAUUUCUAAAAAAUAUCAACUUUAGUGUGCAUUUUUUGUGACUUCUUUUAAUACUAUUGGCAACAAACUCAUUGCUUUCUGAAGAAUAAAGGAAAAUAUCAUACUUUGAGUUAAAAAUGAUAGUUUUUCAUGGUGUAUAUUUGUGUGAUUACAUUUUAUUUCAUUUGUUCCUUAAAUCCCUUGUCUUAUGCCAAAAAUAGAUACAUUUAAUUUUGGAAAAAAAAGAGAAUUAACCCCCCACAGACAUCAAUCUGAAAGCAGAAUUUCCUUUUAUUAAAGCAAAAAGUUCCCAAGCAUGAGGCUGUAUGUUGAGCGAACACCUUUGACUGCUCUAAUUUCUCACUUCUCAAGAUUUCCUGAACUCGAUGGGGGACAAAAAGACCAAAACCAAACUUUGGAGGAAAUAAAAUUAAUAAUUUUUUUCUCUAAAGAAAACAUACUGAGCAUAUAUCUGUAUACGGUGCUAGUGACAAUCUUAUAAACCUCAAAAGACAACAAUUUUGCUUUCUUUUCUUUGUGCACAGGGGUUUUAAAACCUUACAAUGCUGGCCGGACGCGGUGGCUCAUGCCUGUAAUCCCAACACUUUGGGAGGUUGAGGCAGGUGGAUCACCUGAGGUCAGGAGUUCAAGACCAGCCUGGCCAACAUGGUAAAACCCAUCUCUACUAAAACUACAAAAAUUAGCCAGGCAUAGUGGCGAGUGUCUGUAGUCCCAGCUACUCGGGAGGCUGAGGCAGGAGAAUCGCUUGAACCCAGGAGAUGGAGGUUGCAGUGAGCCAAGCAAGAUCAAGCUACUGCACUCCAGCCUGGGCAACAGAGCGAGACUCCAUCUCAAAACAAACAAACAAACAGAAAAACUUUACAAUGCUGAUAAACUUAAAAAUUAUGAAACACAGCUCUUCUUGUCCUCCUGGGGCGCCCCCCAUCACCCCCAUCACAGCCCAGCCUUCUUCUGCUCCUCUCUGUUCUGAGGGAACUUCCCAUCCUUGUCUUUUUAUGGCCGUCUCAGCAUUUUCCCAGGUGUGUGGCUGUCCCUAAGUUAACCCCGGUUUAGCACACGGGAUGUGAUGCUGAGUGAUGGGAGUUCCUCAGAUAAAAGUGGCGGAUCUUCUUUGACUCAUCUUUUCCUUCCUCCCUCUCUAUCUCAAAUUAGAGUGAGAUCAAAUAUAGUGAAAAUGUUACUAGAGACUUUGGGUUUUAAAUCUCUGUAAACCCAGUGAAACACACUAUUUCUGGGGUGUGCACGAUGUGGUCAGUUAGUUACAAAUGCCUUUUUAUCUAGUGAGAGGUGUUUGGGCAAUCCAUGUGCACACAGAGGAGCGUUUCUGGUGAUUUGAUCAAAUCCAAGUGAGCUAGCUCGUUAGUACCUGUGGCAAGUUUAGAACUUCUGAACUCACAAACAUAUUAAGAAAUUUCCUAGGUUCACAGUGAUUUUUGGUAAACAUGAAUUUAAGUACCAAAAGAGGCAGAAUAAUAGUUUGCAAAGUUGUGUUUCCUUUGAGCUUCUGACUCAAAAGUUACAUCAAAGAUGUCCCUGCCUACCCUUAAUAUUUAAGUAAUGGAAUAAAGCUUAAGGGCCCCGAGACUCAGGAGGAUGCCCACAGGGAGAGGCAGGUAGCGCAGCACCUGGCAUUUAGUGGCUCAGCCCUGGAAUGCUAGAGCCUUGGGUUUUCCUUACAAUUGGGAUGGGAUUGGCCACACCUAUCAACAAUUUCUGUUCACUAGCCAAUUAUAAGAAGUUUAUGCAUGCCUAGACCAUUAAAAAAAAAGAAAAGAAACGUUCGGGGGGCCUGACUUUGUUAGCAUGGCCAAAUGAUCUGUUUUUAAUGUAAAUAUUUUGCUACAUUAAAGUUAUCAAAUCAAAGAUUCUGCUGUUCUUUUGUUCUAAAUAUUUUUGGAUGAUACUUUGGCAGAUGCAUGCCAGACAAGCUAUGUAAGACAACUUCAAGUGAUGUGGCCCUUUUUGGGAAUUCGUGGCGUUUGACUUGCCGAGGUUUGCAGGCUGAGAUGUGGUUAUAGGCAGAGAUGAGCAGCCCAGGGGAAGCCUGUGCUUUGCAUGAUGGCAUGGCCAGAUGAUCAGAUCCAUUCUUAUCUGAGAAGGGGAGAGAGAGGGAGGGAGAGAAAGAGAGGAGGGGAGGAAGGAGGACAGGGAGAGAGGCAGCAGAAAGGUGUAAGGAAGACCUCCUAGGACCUGGGUUAUCACUGCCCAGCUGCUGGGCCUCAUUACACUGAAGAUUGUGCAAUUACAUUGAUUUAUUGUUAGAAAAAGAUGUUUAGACUUCUGGGCUCCCCUGAUUUAGGAAGUGUGUGGGGGUGUUGAAGCGGGUGGCUAUGCGUUCUUCCAAGGAUUCAAACAUGCCCGAAUUUAGGGUUCAGGGUCAGGAACUGUGUAGCAAUGAGGGUGGGAGAACCUUUAUGGAGGGUGAACUGCAGAGAGCUCUGCUGGGCUGCUGAGACCAACCUUUCCAUGAAGAGAAGGAGAAAGAAGUCAGAAUCUGCAGCAGGACCGAGUUCCGGUGUGAACUGAGAGGUGUGCAAUUCUGCCUGAAAAAAGCCCCCUGCCCCAGUGUUGGGGACAGCCAUUACUCUCCACAGUGAACAGAAAGACAAACGCCCCGAACAAGACAGAAACAUUAGAAAAACUGAUUUUCCUCAAUGAAGAACGUUUUUAUCA